rnacentral:rRNA from 1 species
AUUGAACGCUGGCGGCAGGCAUAACACAUGCAAGACGAGCGAGCGGCGGACGGGUGAGUAAUGUCUGGGAAACUGCCUGAUGGAGGGGGAUAACUACUGGAAACGGUAGCCAAUACGGCACACCAUCUGAUGUGCCCAGAUGGGAUUAGCUAGUAGGUGGGGUAAUGGCUCACCUAGGCGACGAUCCCUAGCUGGUCUGAGAGGAUGCCCAGCCACACUGGAACUGAGACACGGCCCAGAUUCCUACGGGAGACAGCAUUGGGGAAUGUUGCACCUCGGCGGCAGGCCUGAUGCAGCCGUGCCGCGUAUGUGAAGAAGGCCUUCGGGUUGUGGCGCACUCUCAGCGGAUACGCGUUACUCUCAGUAGAAGCACCCGCUCACUCCGAGCCAGCAGCCGCGGUAAUAC